rfam:Xanthomonas albilineans GPE PC73 complete genome
GGAGUCGGCCAGGCAGUCGCGUCACUCCGGCGCAUUUCGGUGCGGCGGGGUGCCGAGGAAAGUCCGGGCUCCACAGGGCAAGGUGCCAGGUAACGCCUGGGCGGCGCGAGCCGACGGAAAGUGCAACAGAAAGAUACCGCCUACGUCCCUCGCCACCCCUCUGCCGCUGCUGGAGUGCAUUGGCGAUGCGCGGCAUCGGCCAAGCGCGUUCGGCGACGGUAGCGGGGUGGCGAGGGGCCGGUAAGGGUGAAAUGGUGCGGUAAGAGCGCACCGCGAGUCCGGUAACGGACCGGCACGGCAAACCCCACCUGGAGCAAGACCAAAUAGGGACCUCAUGGCGCGGCCCGCGUCGGGUCCGGGUAGGUUGCUCGAGCGUACCGGUGACGGUGCGCCUAGAAGAAUGACUGUCCACGACAGAACCCGGCUUAUCGGCCGGCUCCGCCA